UGUCUUCAGGGCGGGGUGAAAGUCCCCACCGGCGGUACAGUCCGCGAGCGCUUAUCCGAAAGGGUAAGGCAGCUGACCCGGCGUAAUUCCGGGACCGACAGUAACAGUCUGGAUGGGAGAAGACG
rnacentral:ncRNA from 1 species